rnacentral:rRNA from 1 species
GUGGGGAAUAUUGCGCAAUGGGGGCAACCCUGACGCAGCCAUGCCGCGUGUGUGAAGAAGGCCUUCGGGUUGUAAAGCACUUUCAGUGGGGAGGAAAGGGCGCUGGCUAAUAUCCAGUGCAGUUGACGCUACCCACAGAAGAAGCACCGGCUAAUUCCGUGCCAGCAGCCGCGGUAAUACGGAAGGUGCGAGCGUUAAUCGGAAUUACUGGGCGUAAAGCGCGCGUAGGCGGCUUGGUAAGUCGGGUGUGAAAGCCCCGGGCUCAACCUGGGAACUGCAUUCGAUACUGCUGGGCUAGAGUACGAGAGAGGGGGGUGGAAUUCCAGGUGUAGCGGUGAAAUGCGUAGAGAUCUGGAGGAACACCGGUGGCGAAGGCGGCCCCCUGGUUCGAUACUGACGCUGAGGUGCGAAAGCGUGGGGAGCAAACAGGAUUAGAAACCCCAGUAGUCC